CCCUUAGAUGUCCUGGGCUGCACGCGCGCUACACUGAUGUGUUCAAUAAGCACCUAACCUACUCCGAAGGGACUGGGUAACCUAUGCAAAGCACAUCGUGAUGGGGAUAGAUUAUUGCAAUUAUUAGUCUUGAACGAGGAAUUCCUAGUAAGCGCAAGUCAUCAGCUUGUGUUGAUUACGUCCCUGCCCUUUGUACACACCGCCCGUCGCUCCUACCGAUUGAAUGGUCCGGUGAAAUCUUCGGAUUGCUGGAUAGGACUUCAUUGACCUAUCUGCGAGAAGUUGCUUGAACCUUAUCAUUUAGAGGAAGGAGAANUCGUANCA
rnacentral:rRNA from 1 species